UACGUAGGGUGCAAGCGUUGUCCGGAAUUAUUGGGCGUAAAGAGCUCGUAGGCGGUCUGUCGCGUCGGAUGUGAAAAUCCAGGGCUCAACCCUGGACCUGCAUUCGAUACGGGCAGACUCGAGUCCGGUAGGGGAGUGUGGAAUUCCCGGUGUAGCGGUGAAAUGCGCAGAUAUCGGGAGGAACACCAGUAGCGAAGGCGGCACUCUGGGCCGGUACUGACGCUGAGGAGCGAAAGCGUGGGGAGCGAACAGG
rnacentral:rRNA from 1 species